UAGAGAGCACAGAGAGAGUGAGAAACAUAGAGAAAUCUUUGUGGUUGAGAGAUAGAGUUCUUGGAAAAUACUAUGAGUGGGUGUAUAAGGGUUUUGGGUUAGGGUUAUGUUGAUUUAACUCAAGUAUAUCUUGUACUGUUAUUAUUCUCAUAGUGAAGUAUUCUAUCCGGGGAUGUAGGCAGGAUUUUGCCGAACCUCAUUAAGCUCUUGUGCAUUAUCUUUAUUCCUUGUUUUUAUUAUUAUGUUCAACUGUGGUGUGGUUAUUUCUGAAUCUCACGGUGAAAAAGCACUACAAGUGGUAUCAGAGUUUUAUUUCAUGUGAGAUUCAGAUUUGUUCGCCAUAAGCAGUGCAAACAACUUGCAAUUUUCAGUUCAGCAGUUUAACGGUAAAGGCAGCUUUACUCUUUGGCAUAGGAGAGUAAAGGACGCCAUGGUUCAACAAGGUUUGGCACAUUUGAGGGGAUCAAAGAUGGAAAACCUGAAGGAAUGAAAGAUGAGACGUGGGAAGAGCUGGAGUCGCGGUGCAUUAGCACAAUACGACAUUAUACGGCUGAUAACAUUAUCAAUAAUUUUAUGGAUGAGGAUUCUGCGCCUGCUCUGUGGGAUAAGUUAGACCAGCUUUAUAUUGCUAAAAGCCUAACUAACAAGUUACAUAUGAAGCGGCAACUGUACAAACUAAAGAUGGAGGAAGGCUGGAAUCUCAUGGACCACAUGAGCAUGUUCAAUAGAUGUAUGUAUCAACUGCGGAAAGUUGAUGUGAAGAUUGAGGAAGAAGAUAAGGUCAUUUUACAUCUUACCUCGCUUCCCGAUUCAUAUGAAAAUCUUGUUACAACUUUGUUGUAUGGUAAAGAUGCAGUGAGCUUGGAAUAGAUGCAGGCAUCAUUGAUGUCCCAUGAUACACAGAAGAAAAUGUGUAGUGGUGAUGGUAGGCACGAGUCUGUGUUAGCUGUUUAAGAAGGGAAUCGCAGAAGGACAUCUGAUGGUAGAUUUAAGAGAGACAACAGGUCCAGAUCUAGUUCCAAAGGAAUGGGUGUGCAGUGCUACAGAUGUAAAGAAUUCAGUCACAUAAAACGUUUUUGUCCUUUGAAUAAAAAUAAGAAAAAGGAUGAAGCUGGUUCGAGUGUUAAUUUUUGUGUAGCAAAAGAAGAUUUCGGAUUUGUCCUCACGAUAUCUGAAGGUAAAAACACUUCUCCUAGUGAUGCUUGGGUUUUAGAUUCUGGUUGUAUUAUGCAUGUUUGCUCCAGGAAAGAUUAUUUUGACACAUUCCAUGAAUGUAAGGAUGGUAACCUAUUUAUGGGUGAUGGAUAUCCUUGCAAAGUUGAGGGAUUUGGAACUGUCAAAAUAAUGAUGUAUGUUGGAGUGGUUCACACAAUAGGCGAUGUGGCAUAUGUACCAAAGAUGAGAAAGAAUCUAAUAUCUCUUGGAAGAUUGGACUUCUUGGGAUGCAAAUACUUUGUUGCAGGUGAAGCCAUGGAAUCACGCGUGGUGGAUUGAUCCUAAUGAAAGGAAGGAAGUGUGGUGGUUUAUAUUGUUGGGAUGGUAGUACCAUGAAGAUCUCGAUGGGUUGUUGCUGGAAACGGGAAGCGGUGACUAGUUUUCAAGGUAGAGACAAUGGUGAGCGGAUAAUGCCUGUUGGUGGAGACGAAGGUGCAUCGGGACCCUCCUUUGAAGCUAACUAGUGGAGUUAGCUUGGUGCCGCUACACAUGUUUAUUAGUUGUGUAACAUGAAUCGGGAUUGGACCAAAUUUGUUGAUUCAUGUGAUGUGUAGUUGGUGUGUUUUCUGAAGGCUAAUGGUUUAAUUAUUCUUGGUGAUGUUGCAUAGUAUUUUCACCAAGGUGGAGAUUGUUGAAUUUGGUGAAAGUAUUAUGGUAAUUGGAUUGGACCCACAAGUUAAAAGUGUGAGAUAAGCUACAAGGUAAAGAUGAUGCAGCAAUCUUUGACUUACGGUGGAGCUAAUAGGCGGUGAAGAAAGUAAUGGUUACAUGCAAUGAUGGCUUUGGUAAAAGUUGUCAGUAGGUAAAGUCUUCAUAUUGAAGAAAGCUUGUUGCUGACUCUUCUCCCUAGCUUGGUGCCCACUCAAGGCUUCUGUAUAAAUAGAAGUGUAGCUUGUUUUGUUUUGGGUGUGUAUUCCGUGAGCAAGUUCGAGAGCACAUAGAGGGUAAAAAACAUAGAGAAAUCUUUGUGGGUAAGAGAUAGAGUUCUUGGGAAAUACUGUGAGUGGGCGUACAAGGGUUUCAGGUUCGAUUAUGGCUUGAGGAGAUUCUGUGGGAGAAGAAACAUGGCAUGGAUGGCAAAAGGGUUUUGAGCGUUCCCAAUUCAAAUAAAUUACAUUCUUUGCAGGUCGAAUGUUCAUAACGGGUCUUUUCAAGCUCGUGUAAUGUGACGAAACUGUUUUCGUUUUUAGUUACAAUAGUUUGUUGAUUUUUGCACUUAUAUGGAUCAAUGGUGUAUUUGUUGAAUACU